AUUGAACGCUGGCGGCAGGCCUAACACAUGCAAGUCGAGCGGAUGAAGGGAGCUUGCUCCUGGAUUCAGCGGCGGACGGGUGAGUAAUGCCUAGGAAUCUGCCUGGUAGUGGGGGAUAACGUCCGGAAACGGGCGCUAAUACCGCAUACGUCCUGAGGGAGAAAGUGGGGGAUCUUCGGACCUCACGCUAUCAGAUGAGCCUAGGUCGGAUUAGCUAGUUGGUGGGGUAAAGGCCUACCAAGGCGACGAUCCGUAGCUGGUCUGAGAGGAUAAUCAGUCACACUGGAACUGAGACACGGUCCAGACUCCUACGGGAGGCAGCAGUGGGGAAUAUUGGACAAUGGGCGAAAGCCUGAUCCAGCCAUGCCGCGUGUGUGAAGAAGGUCUUCGGAUUGUAAAGCACUUUAAGUUGGGAGGAAGGGCAGUAAGUUAAUACCUUGCUGUUUUGACGUUACCAACAGAAUAAGCACCGGCUAACUUCGUG
rnacentral:rRNA from 1 species